rnacentral:rRNA from 1 species
UUUAAAGGGCCGCGGUAAUUUGACCGUGCGAAGGUAGCAUAGUCAGUAGUCUUUUAAUUGAAGGCUUGAAUGAAAGGUUGGACGAGAGAUAGGCUGUCUCCUUUACGAAUAGUUGAAUUUAACUUUUGAGUGAAAAGGCUCAAAUUUUUUGAUGGGACGAUAAGACCCUAUAAAACUUGAUAUAAAUUUGACUUAAUUUGCGAUUGUUUGUGAAAAGUAGUUUUGCUGUGUUUAUAUUUCGUUGGGGAGAUGUAGAUAUAAUAUGUAACUGUCUGUUUAAUGUAAUAAUUAUAAUUAGUUUGUGAUCCUUCAUUUGUGGAUUAGAAGAAUAAGUUACUUUAGGGAUAACAGCGUGAUUUUCUUUGAGAGUUCUUAUCGACAAGAGUAGUUGCGACCUCGAUGUUGAAUUAAAGUUUCGGCUAGGUGCAGCCGUUUAGCUGGUAGGUC